CUGGCAAAACAUGAAGUCAGGUUGGCUCCUACCAGAUAGUUGAAGACAGGUGAACAUUUCCCAACCCACAUCCAGCAUUACCAGGUGCAAAUGGGCUCUAAGAAAGAUGCUCAUGGGAGAUGUGGAGGGAGGAAAGGAAGCAGUACCUGUACUGUUCCUCAUUCACUCUGUUGCUUACCUGCUGGCACAUCUCAUUGGUGUGAGACGGUGGCCAGCCUUACAGCUGCCUCAUCAUGCCCGGAUCCUCCAGAUUCUCUGAUUCACGAAUAAGGUGAGCAGAAAGGAGCAACUGCUCUCGACACAGUGAUAAGACAUUCGCCUGUCAGAGGGUGGGGAAUAAACCCCAUGAAAAAUCAAGGACCUGCAACCUCAGGGAAAUAUCUAGGGGUCCAGUGUGUGACAUGUUAAGGACACUUUUUCACACAUUUACUGAGUAACCUAAAAAGCUACAAGUUGUGAGCAGGGGCCCAGAACAAGAGCAAGCUCUGUACGAAGCCCAGACUGCCGCUGCCACUUGUGUGACUGAAUACCAGUUUAUGGGCUCAAUGCACAGUGAGGCCAAUAAACCAAAACGUCAGACUUUUGAGCAGAGAGGGAUUUAUUUCAGGGCCAGGCAAGGAGGAUGGGUGAUUCAUGACCCCACCCCCACCCCCAAACACCCUGAAGGGUUUUGGCAAAGUAUUUUUAAAGGCAAGGUGAGGGGGGCAGCAGUCACAGGGUAUAUGAACAACUCAUGCACGAUUCUCUGAUUAGCUGAUGUUGAGGUAACAAGGCAGUGUCACGGGGUUAACAUUAUCAAUCGUCAGGCACCGGGAAGUCUAGGGGUUUAUGAUCUUCAAGUAGUUAAUGUCUUCCAUUCAGUGGUGGUUUCCCUGGUGGCUCAAAUGGUAAAGAAUCUACCUGCAAUAUGGGAGACCCAGGUUCAACCCCUGGGUUGGGAAGAUCCCCUAGAGAAGGGAAUGACAACCCACUCCAGUAUUCUUGCCUGGAGAAUUCCAUGGACAGAGGAGCCUGGCAGGCUACAGUCCAUGAAGUCACAAAGAGUCAGUCAUGACUGAGAGAUUAACACACACUUUAGCAUCUAUAAAAUAACUCAGGAGGUGUGCAUCAAAUACUAUUAUCUAGGUCCUUCAGAGAGGAGUUACUGGGGAGGAUACGGGGUAUGGCUCUAUCUCAGGAAGGCCCACAGGGUCCUACUUGGUAACACUUGGACCAUAAUCCAGGAGAUCCAAUGGUGCUUGAAAUGUCAUUGACUUAUACGACUGCUAUAAUACUUAGAGCCUCUUUCAGGUUCCUAUAGGUGGAUCACAAUGCAAAUCCUUGGGAUUUUAGAAUAAAGCCCUGCCAUCCUCUGUGGAUAACUAUUCUUUUAAGAAGUAGCUUAUGUUUUGCUACUGAGUCUUAGUAGACAUUGAAAGCUUGGCCAGGGGUUACUAAUGUAUCAUGUGACCUGAGCUAAGUAUUGCCUGACCCACUGAGCCAUAAGGUUAAACAGGCACUGAAGUAUUUCAUUCUCAAGAGAGAGUGCUAUAUACAAAAUUGGGCUUGAGCGGAAUGUGAAGGCACAUGUAUGCUGUAUGAGCAAGUGGCCAGUAUAUCCAGAGCCUGUACCCCUGAUAUAUUGCCUUCUUUCUCUUAAUCUGUACCUAUGGCCUCCUGGGGAGCUCCCUGUGUUGGAGCAAGAAAACACUCAGGUCAGGCCUGUGGUUCUGCACAAUAGGCAGAUGGUACACAAAAGUGGUCAGUUAAGAACAAAAUGGACAGUUGAAGCUUAAGAGCCUUAUCCUGAAGACCAGGGGUGAAGGGAAAUCUCCCCAGUGCCAGAAUAUUGAGCACUGCCCCUGGUUGUCCAUUUUGCUAGUAAGGAGAGAUGUCCAGAAGUACAAGUCUACACUAAUUUGUGGGCCAUGGCUAAUACUUGGCUGAACAUUAAGAGAUUUGGAAGGAACAUGAUUGAAAAAUUGGUGUCAAAGGGAUCCGGAGGGAAAGCAGGUUGACAGAGCUUUCCAAAUGGUCAAGGCAUGUGAAGAUAUUUGUUUCUAUGUGAAUGCUUACCGAAGGGUGAAUUCAACAGAGGAGUACUUUAAUAAUCAGAUGGAGAAGAUGAGCCAUUCUGUGGACCUCAAUCAGCCUGCUUCUCCAGCAACUUUGUCACUGCUCAGUUGGCUCAUGAAUAAAGUGACCAUGGGAGCUGAGAUGAAAAUUAUCCAGGGGCUCAUAGUCGUCUGCUUACCAGGGACCACCUGGCUAUGGCUGCUGCGAGAGCCCAAUAUGUUAAUAGCAGAGGUCAACAGUAAGCCCUGGCAUGGCACAGUUCCCAGAUACUAACUAGCCACCUACUGGCACGUUGAUUACAUUAGAUUAGAUCUUCUAUCCUGGAAAGGACAGUGUUUUGUUCUUACUGGAAUAGACAUCUACUCUAGAUAUAGAUUUGUCUUCCUUGCCCACAAUGCUUCUGUCCAAGCCACCACCAAAACCAUGUACAGAAUGAUUUACUCACUGUCAUGAUAUUCCACAAACCAUAAUUUAUGACCAGAAAAAAUUAUUUCAUAGCCAAUGAGGUACAGCAAUUGCCUCAUGCAGCUCCCUGGUCUUGCCAUGUUCCCCAUCACCCUGAAACAGCAGGCUUGACAAAAUGAUAGAAUGGCCUUUUGAAGACUCAGCUAUGGUGAGAUGUCCAGGAUCAAACGUGCUCCAAAUCAUCAUCCAAUGCUUAUUUUUGUUUCUCCCACACCCAGAAUUCAUAGGUCUUGGAAUAAGGGGUAGUGAUGGGAAAUGUUCCUCUCGUACUGUCCCUGGUGAUGCAGUAAACUUUUGCUUCCUGUCCCUGUGAUGUUAGGCACUGCUGGUCCAAAGGUCUUAGUUCCCAAGAGAUAAGUGGUUCCAUCAGGGCACCGAAGGAUGACUCUGUUGAACUGGGUGCCCCUUGACUCAUGCCAUUGGAUCAACAGUGAAAGAAGGGAGUGACAGAACCUGGGCUGAUUCUGCACAAAAAGGUUAGAGAAAAUGUCUCCAGUGUUAAAGAUCCUCUCGGUUGCAUCUCAAUAUUCCCGUAUCUUCUGAUAAAGCUAUAUCAGUUCAAUUAUUAAGACUGCUAAUGACCCAGACCCUUCAGGAAUGAAGAUUUGGUUCACUCUACCAGGCAAGGAUCCACAACUAGCUGAAGUAUUUGCUGAAGAUGAAGGGAAUAUGGAACGGGAAGUGGAAAGAAGUAGUUAUAAAUAUCAGCUAUGACCACACAACCAGUUGCAGAUAUAACUACUGUAAUAGUUAUGAGUAUUUCUUUCUUACUGUGAUAUGUUGGUUUUGUUCAGUCACGAAGUUGUGUCCAACUCUUUGUAACCCCAUUAAAUGCAGCAUUGUGAUAUGACCAUGUAUAUAUAUAUGUGGGCUUCCCUGGUGGCUCAGUGUUAAAAGAAUUCACCUGCAAUGCAGGAGACAUGGGUUCAAUCCCUGAGUCAGGAAUAUCCCCUGGAGAAGGAAGUGGUAACCCACUCAAGUAUUCUUGCCUGGGAAACCCCAUGGACAGAGAAGCUUGGUGGGCUACAGUCCAUGAGGUCGCAAAAGAGUCGACAUGACAUAGCAACUGAAAGACAACAACAAUAAAUGUAUAGUUAUAUAUAGUUUAUAUGCAUAUAUAUAUUCACCCAAUUAUUUUUGCAUUUGUCCUAUGUCUCAUUCUCAUUUUCUUAUCUAACAUAAGAUGUUUUAGCAGAUGUAGUAAAGGAUAGCAAAGGGGAAGUGUGAAUUAGCAAGGUGCACACCAAAAUCAAACAUCACCCAAAGUGAAGAAAAAAAAAAACUUUGGAUCCUCUUCUGGGCAAAGAUUAGUGUUUGGGUUGUUCUUGGGAUAGGAGCAUCAUGUUAGGUGGAGACAUGACUGUGUUAUUAUCUUCAUUUGGAGAUAAAGUGUGAUUUUAAAAAUGUUUUUGAGUACCAAGUUGUCAAAGAGUAGCUCUGACAGUGAGUAAACUUGAGGACGCAGAACUGUAGUUCUCAGAAUCUCUCUCCUGUGUAUUAAGAGUGGGCAGAAAGACAUUCUUGUGCAAAAUUUGGAGGUGGUGUGAAAUUGCAGCCAUUUCAUUGUUUGUAUAUAGCUUGUUUCUUCACAGCUGUCUCACCUCCUACAGGAGGCAGCAGCUGGGCUUGUGACUCCUCUGUGUCCUGCUCUUCCUCCAGUUUCUCCAACUCCUGGGCUAGGUAUGUAUGUUUAGCUCUGUGAUGAGUGUCCUGCUUCUGCAGGAAAUCUAUGUAAUCAAGGUCAAAGUCGUUAAGGACUGACACAAAUUUCAAUCUCCUUUGAACUACUGCUUGUGCACUGGAUUCUAGCUUGUUCUGAAAUAGGCUCUUCCCCAUUUUACAUCCACCUUCUUUUUCUGAUAGCCUUUACCUGGACUUCAAGUUCCAGCAUCAGAUGUGAAGACAACAACUUUACAGACGUGAAUUAACCAUAUACAACCAUUCCAUAUGGUCAGAUCUCUGUAACUACGUUAUAUGUGUGUGCGUGCUCAGUCACUUCAGUCAUGUCCGAUUCUUUGCAACCCCAUGGACUAUAUAGCUCACCACACUCCUCAGUCUGUGGGAUUCUUCAGGCAAGAAUACUAAAGUGGGUUGCCAUGACUUCCUCCAGGGGAUCUUCCCAACCCAGGGAUUGAACCUGUGUCUCCUGCACUGGAGGUGGAUUCUUCACCACUGAGCUACUGGGGAAGCCCAACUAUACUACAUACAUAACAACAGAGAUGAAUCUCAAAAUAAUUAUGCUGAGUGGAAUAAGACAGACAGAAAGAGCAUAUACUGUAUGAUUUCAUGUAUAUAAAAUGCUAGACGGAAUUCUUCAGUGGCCCAGUGGUUAAAACUCAGCACUAUCACUGAUGGGGCCUGGGUUCAAAAUUCUUGGUUGAGAAACUAAGAUCCCACAAGCUGUGUGGUGAGGCCAAAAAAUAAAUAAAUAAAAUAAAAUUCUAACAAAUGCAAACUAAUCAAGAAUAGGAGAAAGCACAUCAGUGGUUGCCUGGAGAGGUGGGAGAGGAGAGGCAGUGAGUGGUAUAGUUGGGGAAGGGUUAAGAAGAUGAGGAAGAAGUUUUUUGAGACUGAUAAUUA
ensembl:lncRNA